GAAGAUGCAGAAUCACGCAUAUACUGACAAGAAACGCCAUAUCUAGCAAGGAAAUAAGAGGGACAUUCAUCUGGUACUGUGAAUCCUGAGAACGAAGAUCAUACUUAACCGAGAGAGGAUAUGAAGAAAUUAGAACUACUUCGGGUGAAUGCAAUUUUGGAGAAUGGAAAACUGGAGAUCAUCACCCGUUGUAGAAGAACCUGAAUUUUACCCGCAACCAGAGGAGCUAGACUGUUUAACUCGGUUCGAAUAUUAUAUGGAUAUUGAGUGAGUGAUACCCCGGCAUCUCUUGUUUAGUAGCAAGAACUGGUCCUUUACAAUUCAAAACUGGAAAAAUUUCUUUAUUUGGUUAAAACUCUGAAUAUUUGUGAAAGUAUAAACUUGUAACAUUUACAACUAGAUUUAUUAGUGUAAUACAAGUACAUAUAAUUCAUGCUGUACCAAGACAACAAAUAUCAUUUUCAGUUUUUUGUAUCAUAUUAUUUUAUCAUUUUGCUUGUUUUAUUUAUUAAAAAAGAUGUAAAGGAUGGUUUAACCUAUUUUUUAAAAAUGUUUUAAAUUUUACUGAUGAAAAACAUUUCAU